ACAGGUGACUGCUGAGCUUUACCUGCCGUUUUAUGGGUCAGCAACCGUCCCUCUACCUUCCUUUCCUUCAUCUUCCAGGCGCUCCCCCCCUGACCCCAAGAGUGCUUAGUACAAGGAGUAUGGUUCAUCUGAAGUUCUACCAAGAUGAAAGCCAAUAGAAAUAAAUGUAGAGUUCUAGCUGGGUUUAAGAAAAACAAAAUCCAGUAUGAUAUGUUCAGACAACAACCCCUGUGAUAAAGAUCUGGGAGUUUUAAGGUACAGCAAGUUGGGAAGGAACUAGAAGGAGGAUGGUUAGCAAUACUACAGUCAAAAAAAACAAAAGGAGGACCACUGAAAUGUGAAAAAAAAAAUCCACAGAAGAGAACAGAAGGAGAUUCAGAAGGAAGCACAGAAAAGCAAGACAGUUUUGAAAACGUGUGGAACUUAUUAUAUACUUAUGAAAUACAGUUUCAAGGUUUUGUAUACAAUUUCUUUUUGUGUUUUGCUGGAUAUAUGGGAUGCUCUUUUUUUGGUGUUUAAAUUCAAAGUAAAAAGAAAAAAAACUAUUCCAGAUGGAAUAAAGUUUUAAUUGGAGGGCAUCUCACUAGUCGAAAUAAGA